GACGAACGCUGGCGGCGUGCUUAACACAUGCAAGUCACGGGGGCUGGUGCAAGCCAGUAACCGGCGAACGGGUGCGUAACACGUGAGCGACCUGCCUUAUCGAGGGGGAUAGCCGGCCCAACGGCCGGGUAAUACCGCAUACGCUUGUUUGGGGGCAUCCCUGGACAAGGAAACCUCCGGGGCGAUGAGAGGGGCUCGCGGCCUAUCAGCUAGUUGGCGGGGUAACGGCCCACCAAGGCGAUGACGGGUAGCUGGUCUGAGAGGAUGGCCAGCCACAUUGGGACUGAGAGACGGCCCAGACUCCUACGGGAGGCAGCAGUGGGGAAUCUUGCGCAAUGGCCGAAAGGCUGACGCAGCGACGCCGCGUGGAGGAUGACGCCCUUCGGGGUGUAAAC
rnacentral:rRNA from 1 species